rnacentral:rRNA from 1 species
UACGUAGGUCCCGAGCGUUGUCCGGAUUUAUUGGGCGCAAAGCGAGCGCAGGUGGUUUAUUAAGUCUGGUGUAAAAGGCAGUGGCCCAACCAUUGUAUGCAUUGGAAACUGGUAGACUUGAGUGCAGGAGAGGAGAGUGGAAUUCCAUGUGUAGCGGUGAAAUGCGUAGAUAUAUGGAGGAACACCGGUGGCGAAAGCGGCUCUCUGGCCUGUAACUGACACUGAGGCUCGAAAGCGUGGGGAGCAAACAGG